CCUACGGGGCGCAGCGGUGAGGAAUAUUGGUCAAUGGGCGUAAGCCUGAACCAGCCAAGUCGCGUGAGGGACGACGGCCCUACGGGUUGUAAACCUCUUUUGCCGGGGGACAAACGGCGGCACGCGUGCCGUCCUGAGGGUACCCGGAGAAAAAGCAUCGGCUAACUCCGUGCCAGCAGCCGCGGUAAUACGGAGGAUGCGAGCGUUAUCCGGAUUUACUGGGUGUAAAGGGCGUGUAGGCGGGCAUGCAAGCCAGAAGUGAAAUCUGGGGGCUUAACCCCCAAACUGCUUUUGGAACUGCGUGU
rnacentral:rRNA from 1 species